ACCAGACUCCUACGGGAGGCAGCAGUGGGGGAUAUUGCACAAUGGGGGGAACCCUGAUGCAGCGACGCCGCGUGGGUGAAGAAGUAUUUCGGUAUGUAAAGCCCUAUCGGCAGGGAAGAAAUUGGACGGUACCUGACUAAGAAGCCCUGGCUAACUACGUGCCAGCAGCCGCGGUAAUACGUAGGGGGCAAGCGUUAUCCGGAUUCACUGGGUGUAAAGGGAGCGUAGGCGGCCAUGCAAGCCUGGAGUGAAAGCCCGGGGCCCAACCCCGGGACUGCUCUGGGAACUGUGCGGCUGGAGUGCGGGAGGGGCAGGCGGAAUUCCUGGUGUAGCGGUGAAAUGCGUAGAUAUUAGGAGGAACACCAGUGGCGAAGGCGGCUUACUGGACUGUAACUGACGUUGAGGCUCGAAAGCGUGGGGAGCAAACAGGAUUAGAUACCCCCGUAAC
rnacentral:rRNA from 1 species